rnacentral:rRNA from 1 species
ACGGGAGGCAGCAGUGAGGAAUAUUGGUCAAUGGCCGGGAGGCUGAACCAGCCAAGUCGCGUGAGGGAAGACGGCCCUACGGGUUGUAAACCUCUUUUGUCAGGGAGCAAGAGGCGGGUCGAGACCUGCUGUGAGAGUACCUGAAGAAAAAGCAUCGGCUAACUCCGUGCCAGCAGCCGCGGUAAUACGGAGGAUGCGAGCGUUAUCCGGAUUUAUUGGGUUUAAAGGGUGCGCAGGCGGAGGCACAAGUCAGCGGUAAAAUCGCGGGGCUCAACCCCGCUCCGCCGUUGAAACUGUGUCCCUUGAGUGCGCGAAGGGUAGGCGGAAUGCGUGGUGUAGCGGUGAAAUGCAUAGAUAUCACGCAGAACUCCGAUCGCGAAGGCAGCCUACCGGCGCGCAACUGACGCUCAUGCACGAAAGCGUGGGUAUCGAACAGGAUUAGAUACCCUGGUAGUCCACGCAGUAAACGAUGAAUGCUAUCUGUCCGGCCGGAAUGACGGCUGG